UGGCAGCAUGAGUGAAGUCGCUCUGGAUAAGAGCGUCUGCUAAAUGACGUAAA
rfam:Salmo salar isolate Sally breed double haploid chromosome ssa21, whole genome shotgun sequence.